CUUUUUCUCUUUUUAUCUGUCUCUCGGUGUGUGUCUGGAAUUUCAUCGGCGACGUCAGCACGCCUUCGCUCGCUUCGAUACCCCGAGCUGCUCAGAGUAAACGGAGAUAGAGAGUUUCGAAGAAAGGUGCUUCUCCUGAAUAACGCCGAGGAAAGUUUCGUCAUGAGGGAGGCGGAGAGAGCCGCAGUUAACAGCGACCUUGCCGAAGAUCGAGAAUGGUAUGCAGCGUGUACGCGGGUGGAGUCGUAAUUCUGCUGGCAGCACGAUCGUCUCUCAGGCUUGCGUCCAUGCUACGUACAUCGUGGAUUCAUCGUGGAACGUCAACGACCACCUAGCUGUAGUUAUCGUCACACCUUCACAAGAAUUUGUUGGAGGAGGAAAAGGGAGAAA
rnacentral:misc_RNA from 1 species